rnacentral:ncRNA from 1 species
AGCAGCCGGUAAACGACACCACUGCCGGCCUGUGCAGUAAUGCACUGACAAUAAAUCUCUUUAACUGCUGGGAACUCUGACCGUGAGAGACGAAGACAAUCAGCAACCAAGCCGGAUAACCGGAAGGCUCAACGACUAUCCCUACGGGGAGUACGGUCAAGCGACUGGAAACGGGAGACUCCUUAGAAAUAAGGAUGAAGAUAUAGUCUAAUCCUUGUAGAAAUACAAGG